GACUACUAUGAACCUAACUACUACAUACUGGGUGAAGGGAACACCAGCACAUGUCUGGCGACAGGCUUCAGCAGAUUCAACGAACUCCAGAACGACACUUUGUUCAGUCAAACUGAAGCAGUCCGGAUUUCGCAGGACUCACUCUUUAACCAGGUGGCCUUCAUCACCAAUGGGGACGUCGACAAAACCAGAUGUUUUACAGAGGACAACAAUGCGGAACCCACUCGCUGUGACGACGGUCUACAACCCGACCCGAUGGUGAACCUGGUGUCCCUGAUAGUCACAGGGCUACGUGUGCUCCUCCUGAAAACAGUGGUCUUCAAUAUCCUGAUGACCCUUCGCCUGUGGAUUAGUCAGUAA
rnacentral:misc_RNA from 1 species